CUAGCGGCGGACGGGUGAGUAACGCGUGGGAACGUGCCCUUCUCUACGGAAUAGCCCCGGGAAACUGGGAGUAAUACCGUAUACGCCCUUUGGGGGAAAGAUUUAUCGGAGAAGGAUCGGCCCGCGUUGGAUUAGGUAGUUGGUGAGGUAACGGCUCACCAAGCCGACGAUCCAUAGCUGGUUUGAGAGGAUGAUCAGCCACACUGGGACUGAGACACGGCCCAGACUCCUACGGGAGGCAGCAGUGGGGAAUCUUAGACAAUGGGGGCAACCCUGAUCUAGCCAUGCCGCGUGAGUGAUGAAGGCCUUAGGGUUGUAAAGCUCUUUCAGCUGGGAAGAUAAUGACGGUACCAGCAGAAGAAGCCCCGGCUAACUCCGUGCCAGCAGCCGCGGUAAUACGGAGGGGGCUAGCGUUGUUCGGAAUUACUGGGCGUAAAGCGCACGUAGGCGGACUGGAAAGUCAGAGGUGAAAUCCCAGGGCUCAACCUUGGA
rnacentral:rRNA from 1 species